rnacentral:rRNA from 1 species
GACGAACGCUGGCGGCGUGCUUAACACAUGCAAGUCGAACGGAAAGGCCCUGCUUUUGUGGGGUGCUCGAGUGGGGAACGGGUGAGUAACACGUGAGUAACCUGCCCUUGACUUUGGGAUAACUUCAGGAAACUGGGGCGAAUACCGGAUAGGAGCUCCUGCUGCAUGGGGGGGGAUGGAAAGUUUCGGCGGUUGGGGAUGGACUCGCGGCUUAUGAGCUUGUUGGUGGGGUAGGGGCUUACCAGGGCUUUGACGGGUAGCCGGCCUGAGAGGGUGACCGGCCACAUUGGGACUGCGAUACGGCCCAGACUCCUACGGGAGGCAGCAGUGGGGAAUAUUGCACAAUGGGCGGAAGCCUGAUGCAGCAACGCCGCGUGCGGGAUGACGGCCUUCGGGUUGUAAACCGCUUUCGCCUGUGACGAAGCGUGAGUGACGGUAAUGGGUAAAGAAGCACCGGCUAACUACGUG